rnacentral:rRNA from 1 species
AGCGAACGCUGGCGGCAGGCUUAACACAUGCAAGUCGAGCGGGCAUCUUCGGAUGUCAGCGGCAGACGGGUGAGUAACACGUGGGAACGUACCCUUCGGUUCGGAACAACUCUGGGAAACUGGAGCUAAUACCGGAUACGCCCUUAUGGGGAAAGGUUUACUGCCGAGGGAUCGGCCCGCGUCUGAUUAGCUAGUUGGUGGGGUAACGGCCUACCAAGGCGACGAUCAGUAGCUGGUCUGAGAGGAUGAUCAGCCACACUGGGACUGAGACACGGCCCAGACUCCUACGGGAGGCAGCAGUGGGGAAUAUUGGACAAUGGGCGCAAGCCUGAUCCAGCCAUGCCGCGUGAGUGAUGAAGGCCUUAGGGUUGUAAAGCUCUUUUGUCCGGGACGAUAAUGACGGUACCGGAAGAAUAAGCCCCGGCUAACUUCGUG